rnacentral:rRNA from 1 species
CACGUAGGGCGCGAGCGUUGUCCGGAAUUAUUGGGCGUAAAGGGCUCGUAGGCGGCCUUCUAAGUCGAACGUGAAAUCCCCGGGCUCAACCCGGGAACUGCGUCCGAUACUGGAAGGCUUGAAUCCGGGAGAGGGAUGCGGAAUUCCAGGUGUAGCGGUGAAAUGCGUAGAUAUCUGGAGGAACACCGGUGGCGAAGGCGGCAUCCUGGACCGGCAUUGACGCUGAGGCGCGAAAGCCAGGGGAGCAAACGGG